ensembl:lncRNA
AAGUGGUAAAUCACAUCUUGACUUUAAUGUAUAAAAGACCAAUGAUAGCUACAGCAGCAUAUAUUGUACAUACAUAAUGUAUUUUGUAAAAGACGAGCAGCUGUGCAGUUUCCCACUGACCGCUUUUAUUACAUCGCUUCAUCAUCUGAAUUCAUGUUACAAAAAACAAAACACAAUAACACACAGCAUUUUCAGUGGGAAGUGUAUAAUAUAGACACCGUAAUGCAGUAAGACUACAUUCAGACUUUAUAUUUAUUUAUGUACAUAAUAUACAGUUAUAGUUAGAUUUGGAAUGUGUUUUAUGUUAUUUUUAACCUCUUGCUGAAAUCAUACGACACAGUGGAGAUGACACACUUCUUCUGCUGUGAUCUGAAGAGAAUUACUCUAAAUAAACACCAGGCAGGUUUGAAGAAGCAAGCGAGGGUGGGGGAGAAAAUAGAAUAAUGCAGCAGUGCAUUAGGCUUGAAUAAACAUCAGCUCGGCAGAGGGGAAUUGAGAGCCUUCGCGUCUCCGCUUUUUAGAUGUCAAGCUGGCAAAUUUGGGCGGCUUUUCAGUCUUCACCGGCUCCUGGGGCGCUUGGCUUUCAGCUGUGUGGUUAAGUGUGUCUUUGUGUGUGUGCAAUAUGUCCGUGUGUGUUUGUAAAGUGCAUCCUGGGGGCUACAUUAGCCCUACAUCUGUCAGUUCAGAGAGGAAGCCUGUUUUGCCUCUCACUGUCAGGAGUUUCCUUGCUCUGCACUGGACAGACAGACAAACACACACACGCACAACAUGACCAAUAGGAAACAGACAGGAAAUGCACAAUUAAGGAUGCAGCAUGACAUUUUUGUGCCGUGUGCCGGUAGGGAAUCUGCUGUCAGAACCUUGCAUUCCCUACGUUUCCUGACCCACAGUUUGUUCCACAGCAUUCAUCUGCCCCUCAUGUCUUAUGUUUUGUCUACAGUAGCAUCGAAUCCAAUAACGCUUUGAACUCGACAUCAAACAAAAUAUCGGCACCGGCUGAAUCAACGUUAUUAAAUUCAUGGUCUCAUUACAUGGUCUGUUGUUCAUUUUUCUGGGCCUGAAAUUGGGCUCUAAAGCAAAGCGGUGCAAGCAAACGUGUGUGUGUGUGUGUACGUGCGGUGAUGAAGUGGGAAAACGGGGAUGCAGAGAAAGCAGCAGGGAAUUGAAGAUGUGGUGAGGGGAAGAUUCUCAUUUGAGAUAAAAAUAUACUCCUUGCAAUUUCUGAGCACCCAACACACACACACACACA